UGCAGUCUCUCCUCUCAGGGGCCUUUUGU
rnacentral:piRNA from 1 species